rfam:Gossypium arboreum cultivar AKA8401 contig_11222_1, whole genome shotgun sequence.
UCUAGAGGAGCGUUUUGUCUACGUCAGCACAAAACGCUUCCUUGAUGGCGCGCUUUGUGCUGAUGUGGACAAAAUGCUCCCCCAGGG